rnacentral:rRNA from 1 species
GACGAACCGUGCAAACGUUGUUCGGAAUCACUGGGCUUAAAGGGCGCGUAGGCGGGCCAGCCAGUCUGUGGUGAAAGCCUCCAGCUUAACUGGAGAAGUGCCGUGGAUACUGCUGGCCUCGAGGAGGAUAGGGGCAUCUGGAACGGUCGGUGGAGCGGUGAAAUGCGUUGAUAUCGACCGGAACUCCGGUGGCGAAGGCGAGGUGCUGGGUCCUUUCUGGACGCUGAUGCGCGAAAGCCAGGGGAGCAAACGGG